UACGUAGGGGGCAAGCGUUGUCCGGAUUUAUUGGGCGUAAAGAGCGUGUAGGCGGCCAGACAGGUCCGUUGUGAAAACUCGAGGCUCAACCUCGAGAUGUCGAUGGAAACCGUCUGGCUAGAGUCCGGAAGGGGAGUGUGGAAUUCCUGGUGUAGCGGUGAAAUGCGCAGAUAUCAGGAAGAACACCCGUGGCGAAGGCGGCUCUCUGGGACGGUACUGACGCUGAGACGCGAAAGCGUGGGGAGCGAACAGG
rnacentral:rRNA from 1 species